CCUACGGGAUGCAGCAGUGGGGAAUAUUGCACAAUGGGGGAAACCCUGAUGCAGCCAUGCCGCGUGUAUGAAGAAGGCCUUCGGGUUGUAAAGUACUUUCAGUAGGGAGGAAGGCAGUGUCGUUAAUAGCGGCAUUGUUUGACGUUACCUACAGAAGAAGCACCGGCUAACUCCGUGCCAGCAGCCGCGGUAAUACGGAGGGUGCGAGCGUUAAUCGGAAUUACUGGGCGUAAAGCGCAUGCAGGCGGUCUGUUAAGCAAGAUGUGAAAGCCCGGGGCUCAACCUCGGAACAGCAUUUUGAACUGGCAGACUAGAGUCUUGUAGAGGGGGGUAGAAUUUCAGGUGUAGCGGUGAAAUGCGUAGAGAUCUGAAGGAAUACCGGUGGCGAAGGCGGCCCCCUGGACAAAGACUGACGCUCAGAUGCGAAAGCGUGGGGAGCAAACAGGAUUAGAUACCCGGGUAGUC
rnacentral:rRNA from 1 species